UAAAAAUAUUGAUUGUUUAUAUUUUUAAAUUUCAUACUAUUUUUUUAAAAAAAAUUUAAAAAUAAAUAUUUUACUACGCCGGCUCGAAGAAUGGCCUUAUUGGCACGACCCGCAGCAUGGCCCGGCUCGGCCCGACACGGCCCAUGCCUUCCGGGCCAAAAGGCCGUGCUGGGCCACAGAGUAGACAAUUUGGGCCUGGCACGGCACGGCCCGAAAUUAAAUUCGGACCGGGCCUGUCUGGGCUGGCCCCUAGCCAGUUUCGGCCUAGAAAAUGUGGACCGUGCCGGGCCGGCACGGCCCACAUUACACCCCUAUACGUGAUCUAUGCUAUUGGAUGUACUUAUAAAAUAAUCUUUAUAAUUUUUUGACAUCAUUUAUUUUUAAAAUGAAUAGUUUGAAAAUAAGUUGCUGAAAACACAAAUCUCAUAAAAAAUAAUAAUUCAAUUUCAGAUUAUAUGUACGACUUUUGUUUUAAAUAGAAAAAAAAAAAUCUAUCAAAAUUUUACUGGAUUUGAAUUGUUCCAUAUUGUUAAACUUAUAAAUCCAUACAAAUAAACGAAUGUGGGCCUUCAGAGAAUGACGUAUCGUUUCCUCAAUUACUCUCUCUGUUUCCUUUCUCUCCGGCGCUCUCUCUUUUAUCUCUCCCCCUCUCUCUAAACUCCCCGCCGGGAUCUGUGCUCACUCUGAUCUCCUCGCCGGGAUUCGCGGCGCGGUCUUCACCGGUGGGGGAUCCGGCGAGGAUCUCCCUCCGGCGUUCUCUCUCCUACCUUUCUCCUCCUCUCUUCCUCGAUCUUUCUCAUCUCCUCACUGGUAUCUACACAGCGAUCUUCGUCGGUCAAAAAUCUGCCGGUGCAGUGCGAUCUCUGCCGGAGAAAAAUCUGUCAAGGACCUCCCAAUUAAUGGCCGAGAGGUGAUGUGUCCUCUUCUACUUUGCCCCCCACCCCCAUCGGUCGUUUUUUUUUGUUUCCUUUUAUUUUAUGCCCUUUUGUGCUUCGGCUUUCCUGAUUUCCGGUUGAGAUGGGGUCUGUUGCUAGCUUCGGUGGUUGAGGCAGGGAGCCCUUUGGCCGCCGGUUUCCAGUUGCCUGUGAUGAUGGCCUUGCCUAGCUACAUUAACACCUAUAAUAGCAAUAAUUUCUACCUAUUUUUCUACUGAGAUCUUGUGCAGUACAAACUCUAUAAAUAUCUCUCCUAAUUUUCCUAAAAUCCUCUCCAUAGUUUUGGUUCUGGAGAGGGAAGAAGAUUUGUACAUACUUCCAAUUUUAUUUUAGAUUAAUAAUUUGAUGUUUGAUUGAUGCUUAAUGCAGAGACGUUGGUAUUUGUUUAGUAUUGAUGUUGAUUUCUUUCUUUGGUAGGUUGAAUCGGGUAUCAUUCUCUUAUAUUCUCUAUUGGGACCUAAGAGGUUGAGGUGUGUUUCAUUCUCAUAUCUUCUCUUUUGGGAUCCAAGGUGGUUUGUCUCUUUUAUGUUAAUAUGCUAUAAUUAUUGCAGAAAUUCAUUGCAGUCAUUAAACAAUAAAUCUUGCCUUUUUUCC